GACGAACGCUGGCGGCGUGCUUAACACAUGCAAGUCGAACGAAGUGGCGAACGGGUGAGUAACGCGUAAUCACCCUGCCCUUCAGAGGGGGACAACAGUUGGACACGACUGCUAAUACCGCAUACUGAAGGAGGGGAUUGCGUCUGAUUGGCUAGUUGGAGGGGUAACGGCCCACCAAGGCGAUGAGAAGGAGCCGGUCUGAGAGGAUGAACGGCCACAUUGGGACUGAGCCACGGCCCAGACUACUACGGGAGGCAGCAGUGGGGAAUUUUCCGCAAUGGAAGAAAGGCUGACGGAGCAACGCCGGGUGAGUGAUGACGGCCUUUGGGUUGGAAAGCUCUGUUAGUCGGGACGCGGUACCGGAAUAGAAAGCCACGGCUAACUACGUGCCAGCAGCCGCGGUAAUAC
rnacentral:rRNA from 1 species